GACGAAGGUGGCAAGCGUUGCUCGGAAUCACUGGGCAUAAAGCGCGCGUAGGUGGCCUGAUAAGUCGGUGGUGAAAUCCCAUGGCUCAACCAUGGAACUGCCGCCGAUACUAUCGGGCUUGAGGACGGUAGGGGAGAGUGGAACUCCUGGUGUAGCGGUGAAAUGCGUAGAUAUCAGGAGGAACGCCGGUGGCGAAAGCGACUCUCUGGGCCGCUCCUGACACUGAGGCGCGAAAGCUAGGGGAGCAAACAGG
rnacentral:rRNA from 1 species